CCCACAUGGUACCUAUACGUCAUCAGAUCUUCAGUGUACCAAAUGUCCAGUAAAAUGUGCCAACAUUUGCCAUCAGGAUAGUGGCUUGUGUUUCGACUGUAAUGGUUACAGUAACCCACCGAAUUGUAAUAUAGGUUGUUCUACUGGUAAAUAUGGAAUCAACUGUACACAAGUAUGUCCAACUAAUUGUUACAAUAACGAAUGCAAUAGUGUGACUGGACUUUGUUUGAAAUGUAAACCUGGAUAUGAAGGAGAUUCCUGUGAUAAAGCUUGUAAGGAUUUUUUCUGGGGACAAAAUUGUAGUCAAAACUGUAGCUCUAAUUGUCAAAAUAAAAGUUGCAACAAAAUCAAUGGAGAAUGUUUUGGGGGAUGUUCUGCUGGCUACAAACCUCCCCAAUGCACACAAGAAUGUCAAACUGGAAAAUGGGGACACAACUGUUCUAAUGAAUGUGACUCUAGGUGCAAAGACAAGACAUGCGAUAGAGUUACCGGACUUUGCAUCUACGUCUGUGACAGCCAUACAA
rnacentral:sRNA from 1 species